rnacentral:lncRNA from 1 species
AGCUGCAGGGACUAAGCUGGACUGGCUUAGACUAGACUAAGCUAGACUAGCUUAGUGAAGCGUUUGAUGUAGUGUCGGACUAAAAAACAAAAUAAUAAAAAUUAAUUCACUUUUUAUUUUUUAUUUUUUUCAUUUUCUAGAAUCUGCCUAUUUUGGUCAAACCAUUUCCUUCUUUUUCUCCCCUGUCUCUUCCCUUUUCCUUAUCCUGUCCGACUCUCUCUCCCUCCCUCCCUCCCUCUUCACUUCCUCUCACAACUUCAUAAUCUACUGCAAACCUUCAAAAUCAAACCACAUAGCAAGAAAUAAAGUGAAAAUUUAGGAGUUGGGGUUGGGGUGCAUGUGUGAUUGCCUCGAAGGUGGGAGAUGGAGAAGGUUUGCAAUCAGGGAGUUUCAUGUUUUCUGGGUUUGGUUUUCCUUCAGUCAAUCCCAUCGUUGAUUUAAGCUUAUAUCCACUGCAGAUUUUGUGUGUGUGUGUGUUUUAUAGGUUUUUGGGUUCGGUUUUUUGGGCUCUAUUUUGCAGGUUGGAUCUGGAUUUGAAAAAUGGAACGACUGCAUAUUUUUUUUGUUUUGAAUUUUGCGGGAUAUGGGUUUGAAAAUGGUUGUGGAAGCGAGGAAGAAGCAGAUGGGAGGGGCGAAGUGAGGAGAGGCGAAGCGGACAGAGGUGGUCUUAGCAGUCCGCCCGAUUUUGGGGGGCCUCGCGAAGCCCCUCUAGCGAAUCGUUUAGUCGGGGUUAGUGUAGGCGAGUCUCAUUAACGCUAGUCCGUGUGUGCAACAAACACAGGAUUACAGUGACAGUUAGUCCAGUCCAAGCUAGCGAAAGCUAGCGAGCUCAAACAAACACACCCUUAGAGAAUGUGUUAACGUGUUUAAACAUCAGAAAACAUCUAAGGUUUAUUAAGGUCCAAAAGUAGUCUUAUUCAGUGUUUAAAAUAUCUAUUAAAUGGUCGAUAUUUUCGUUGAAAUAACCGAAAAAUCAAGGAUUGAUAUGGAAAUAGGGAUGAAAUAUAAACUUCACCCUAUAUCGACAAGGUAUAAAAAAAAUCAACGAAUAUCAAUGAUAUUUAAUGAUUAACUACAUAAAUUUUGUCACAUCCCAUUGGCGAACUUCCCUUGUGAUGAUGAGCAAAGGCUGUGAGAGUCUCUGACAAAUUUGCAAGGGGAAACGCAUGUGAUUGCUGUGGGGACUAAAAAGCCCCACAGUUGUUCACGAGCCCAUACUACUUUGCAUUUAUUGUAACCCCUAACCCGGGCCAGUGGGCCACCCCGUAUGCUUUAUAGAUCGGGCCUUAAGGUAGAAAUACCUUUGGGCUUUUAUUUUUAACUACUAACACUUAAUUCUCGUGUGGAUUGAGAAUUAAAUAUAAGGAAAAUUAACGAAAAAUUCUAAAAAAAAUUUAGUUUUAAUGAAAAUGAAAAAUUAAGGUGUGAAUGAAUAGUACAAGGAGUGACUUUUCAAGGUAAAAAUGUCGUUUUCAUUAAAAGUGAAUAGAACCGAGAGUAUUUCAUUAAGAUUCCCUUAAAUAUAAGGAGAUCAAUCUAGAAAGGCCUAAUAAUGCAAGAUCCAACCGGAUCUUCAAGAGAUAAUCAUUCCUAAGCCAAGAUCACCGAUGUUGUUAAGAGUCAUCUCUUAACCGGGCUUUUAAUUGGUGCCCCUCAUUAAGUUUUCCAUGGUAAAUCAUUGGUGGCUAAAUGAGCGGGAUACUGUGGUGUUCAAACUAACCACUUAAGGAGUGCAAGCGUGCCCUAAUGAAUCAUCUUUUAAUUUUUAUUUUUUUGUCAAAAAUGAAUCAUCUUCAAGUUUAUGCCAUGUUCUAUGUAGAGGCAUGCAUACAUACAAUGAAAGGUAACUGUUCUUUAGUCAAGAAACUCACAGUUUGAGAUUCAUUUUUUAAUCUAACUUAGGAAUUAGAAGACUUUUGGCUCACACCACACUAGUGUGACUAGGUUUCACUUGUCUUUUCUUUCUUGGUUGUAUGGCACGAGAGUAAUUCUACUCUUGUGUGGAAUUCAUCUCCCACAACUUCAUACGUACGACAUUGAUAACAAUUUUGAAAAGAUAAAUAAAUAUUAAACUCAAUGCUUUAGAGAAAAAGCUCAAAUUACCCUAUAACACAGACAAAAAAAUUAGUUGGAAGUGGACAGAUGCGAGUGUAUUUUUUUUUUCGGUUGAACAUUUGAAGUUUUUUUUUUAUUUUUUAUUUUUUUUAUUUUUUAUAAAUAAAAAUGAUAGUCGACCGGGUGUUCAUCCUAAUUUACUAGUUUAUUUAUUAAUUUCAAUAUUUCCUUCUGUCGUUUACCAUACAAAAAGAAUAUAUUUAGCAACGAUUUUGACACUUACCUUUUAAUUUUUUGCACUUUAAAACUGAAUGAGUGUGUGAGAUGAUUGUGACAUGCUUAUUAAUCAUGCACAUAUUUAGAAUAAACUACGUUUUCAGAUAACUCAAAUAUUUUGUGGUCAUAUUAAUUUAAACUUAAGUUUUUAAUCACUUAAUAUUACGAUUUAAUAAUAUUUUUUUUACUUAUAAAUAAAUGAUUAUAAGUUAAAAUCUCGUGAUCAAAUCAUUCCCUGUAAACUGGUUUUAGUUUAAUUGCGGUGUAAGUACUAAUUAACGCACAUCACUAAAUAUAUUUGUAGUAGAUAUGGAACAUCACAUGUGGGCAUGUUACUAUCGUGGGGACUGUCAUACAAAUACAAAAAAACAACCAGUCGAUAUCCCAUUGCAUGUUACUAAUUAAAUCCAAAGCCUCAAUUCCAAAGCUUGUUUCAUUGUCCUGCUAAAUUAUUCCAACCUUUUGAAUUGCCAACAUCAAACGUUAAAGUUAAUGUACUAUGAAGCUAUUUUGGAGUCACUUAGUAUUACGGUAUAAUGAUAUUUCUCUUCACUUGUAAGUAAAAGAUCUUAGGUUCAAUUAUCGCCAAAUGCGAAUUUGAAUCAUAUAAUUGCUAACCCAUUGUAUAGGCCAAGAUGACACACUUUCCCCCUUAGUGUAGAUAAUAUGACUUGUUCAAAAAAAAAAAAAAAAAAGCAGCAGUUUUGAAAAGUUGUUUGAGUAAGAGCAUCCCAAUAGGCUCUAUACAAAGCUGAAAAAGUGGUGGAUAACCCAAUUUUAGAGUCUCGAUGAAUUUUUGAGGCUCUAAAAAAAAUCUCUCCUAAUGAAGAAAUAUAUACUUUUCAAACUAUGUAUGAAAUUAUAUAUUUAUUUAUGUAGUACUUUGAUUACGAGGUAAUAGACGGGGGAACAUCCAAGUUUUCCAACUCAAAAAGUGUACCACAACAUGUGGGAGUAGAUUGAUAUAACCUUUUAACACUGUGUAUACUAUAUACUUGUUUAUACAACACUUGAAUUUCUGCAAUUGAUUCAAAAUUCAAAUUUUAUUAAUGUUUUUAUUGAGUGCAGUAACUAAUGUUCUUAACAACUUAAGUUAUAAGCUCCUUAUCAAGGGCCCAAGAGUUUAAUAGAUUUGGACUAAAACCACACAAUUUGUGACCCAUUAUAAUUUGGUAUCAAACUCGCAUCAUAUCAAUUGAACGUAAAAUCUCUCACAUACAAAUAAAAAUGAAUAUCAUAAGACCGUAGUGAACCUUAAUUGUGUCAGCCAUAAUAACUUGGCAUCAAACUCACUAUCACAGAAGUUGAACCUUAAGACCUCUCACAUACAACUACAAGUUAAAAUGAAUAUCACAAGACCAUAGUAAUCUUUAGUUGUACCACAAAGUCUAACAAGUUACAGUGAGAUCAACUUCUUUAUGGAAGAUUGUCCUAAUGAAUAGGGACUUCCUCUUCAACCACUCUGUCCCUAGUUUAAACCCUCCCCUAUUCCCUUAAUGUAGCUUAAAUUAGUAAUAUCACUUAUAAUAAAUAAAUAAAAUUGCAACAUUUUUCAUGCAAAUUCAUGGAAAAUCCCUACAAAAAUGGACGAGGAAAUAAUUUUUUUUCUAAUGGAGGUGAUUAAGGCAUGACAAAUGCUAAUCAUCUGAUUAAUUAAGGAACCAUAGUCUAAGAGUUCGGAUUUAAAGGACAAUCAACAAUUCAUACCAUAUGUUGGUGAAGCGAAGGUAAUCGAAAAUCUUAUCGAUCUAAACAUUAAAGAUAAAUAUGUUUAUGUUGCAGUCAUAUUUAGAAUAUGAAUGUGAUUGUGUAAAUCCUAAUAAAUAUGAGAAUGUAUCUUAUAUUCCUAUUAUGAGUAAAUUACCUAUUAAAUGUAGUAAUCCUAAAGGGAAAAGUUUUUACAUAUCCUACUACUAUAAAUAAAGACACAAUGAGGUGAAUCAAACACACCUCACAAUUAAAUCACUCUCUCUUCUCCCUCAAUAUUGCCAGCCCCCCUCUCUCUCUAAACCCUAGAUCUUUCAAUCAAAUAGGCCUAUAACACGUUAUCAGCACGCUUUUGCCAGAAGCUGAGGAAUUGACACAUUGUAGGAGGAGGCUAUCAUCCACCAAAUUCAAAGGCUCAUUCGUUUUCUGCUAAUCAGGUACACUUAAAAUAAAAGAAGAUAUUUGAAACAUCCACGAAGCAUGAGAACAUUUCUCAUGAUGCAUGAACCCCUCUAUGUUUAUAUUUUCAUUCCGAUAUAUAUAUAUAUAUAUAUAUAUAUAUAUAUAUUUGUUUCAUGCAUCGUACAAUUAAAUUGUUAUGUGGAAUUUGUGAGUCAAAGUAUUAAAUUAAAUUAGAAGCAUAUUUAGGGUUUCCUAAACCCUAAAGGAUUUUGAAAAAAAAAAAGGGAUCAGACAUGGUGCGGCACACCCACCACACCAUCAUUAUGCACACAAAAACCAGGCCUUAGCUUGGACUUCACCUUGACAGGUCCUGAAGCCCCAAGCCUAUUUGCUACCUUGGCCUGCGCCACGGCCGUGUCCUCCAUGCCAACCCACAAGGCUAGACUUGGUCUCUGCGGCACGCACACAUGCAGCCAGCCAUUUUUGUGACUGGGCUCAGCAUUCCUGCUCCUAAAACCCUCAGGCCAGCAUUGUGUUGGACCUACCCGUGCCCUCAUAUUCGGCCUACAAUGAAACCCAGCUGCGGUUGGGGUUUCUCCCUGGACUAGUGGCCCGCAACCACCCGAGCCCUUUUUGCUCACGGCACCUAGCCCAUUCUUUGGGCUAUGCUAUAUUUUUAAUCCAAUAAUAUUAUUUUAAUAUUAUUUAGCUUUUACAAUUGACCUCGUAUGGCCCGAUUUAUUGAAUUAAUUAAAAGUGACAUGCAGUCUAUUAAUAUGAUAAUGAAUCUAAAAUUGUUGACCUGAAGAUCACUUUUGGACAUUAACGAUUCAAUAAUUUAUUUUUAUACUUUGAACCAUCACAUACUUUCAUAGUAAUGAAGCUCUUACACUUGAGUUCUCGAAGAACCUCAAAUCCACUAUAUUCAAAUUAGUAUAUUGCAUUUUGUGUUUCUUGCAGGAACCUUUCAUUAUGAACUAAUUGUUCAUAAAACUAAAUUGAACUUGUAGUUUCAAAUUUAUUGCCUUUGAAACCCGAAGUUUUCAUUCACAACAAAGCACAUGAAACCUGUAGUUUUCAUGCAUAAGUUAAACCAAUGCAUGUCUAUAGAACUCGUAUGUUUUACUA